AGGGGUUCCCCGUCCGGCCGCCGCCGCCGCCGCCGACGCUGCCCCGCUCCGGGCCCGGGGCUCCCCCUAGCGCUGCUGAGGAGCUGCCGCCGCGGCUCGAGGAGGGCGGAGGAACGGGGCUGAGAGAGAGCGCCUGGAGGCUCGCGGGGAGGGAGUGUGUGAUUGAUUUGCUCUGAAUGUAAAAUUUGGCCAAAGAUUGUUCCUCUUUGAACUCCUCCACAUUCCUUCUCCCGCUGUUCCAUGACUGAUUUGCAACAUUACCUGUUAAUACUGUUUGUUGGUGAAGCUUCUUGUCGACUCAUCUGUCACCAGCAGUUACUGAAUGUCCCCCAGUGUGCAGAAUACUGAUGAAAUGCCUGAAUUCUUGCAGUGCUACAAAAUGCCAUUCUGGAGAAGACAAAGACUUGGGGCAUUUGUUUUCACUUUUUCUCCCCUCCCUCCUGUAAAUUUACUGAGUUUGAAAUCUUUUUACUCCUUCAUGUGUAAUGUGGAGAAUGUGUAUCAGUUGUGUGUUCUUAUAGUCUUGCCAUUUGGAAGACUGGCAUUCCAGAGGAGUGUUUUGUAUAGCUCAAGGAAUUUCAGUCACUUGGGUGUUCAGAGACUUAUUGCAGAUCGUUUUAGACUAAUGUAUCAAGAAAAAUAAACUGAUCCUUUUUAUUCUUUAAUUACA